rnacentral:rRNA from 1 species
CCUACGGGUGGCAGCAGUGGGGAAUAUUGCGCAAUGGGCGAAAGCCUGACGCAGCGACGCCGCGUGAGGGAUGAAGGUCUUCGGAUCGUAAACCUCUGUCAGCAGGGAAGAACGGUCACUGUGCUAAUCAGCAGUGAAUUGACGGUACCUGCAAAGGAAGCACCGGCUAACUCCGUGCCAGCAGCCGCGGUAAUACGGAGGGUGCGAGCGUUAAUCGGAAUUACUGGGCGUAAAGCGCUCGUAGGCGGUAUGUCAAGUCAAGGGUGAAAGCCCCGGGCUAAACGAGGGAACUGCCUUUGAAACUGGCAAGCUGGAGUGUUGGAGCGGAUGGUGGAAUUCCAGGUGUAGGGGUGAAAUGCGUAGAUAUCAGGAGGAACAUCGGUGGCGAAGGCGACUAGCUGGCACGUAACUGACGCUGAGGAGCGAAAGCGUGGGUAGCAAACAGGAUUAGAUACCCCGGUAGUC